rnacentral:rRNA from 1 species
GAUGAACGCUGGCGGCGUGCUUAACACAUGCAAGUCGAACGGAAAGGCCCUGCUUUUGUGGGGUGCUCGAGUGGCGAACGGGUGAGUAACACGUGAGUAACCUGCCCUUGACUUUGGGAUAACUUCAGGAAACUGGGGCUAAUACCGCAUAGGAGCUCCUGCUGCAUGGUGGGGGUUGGAAAGUUUCGGCUGUUGGGGAUGGACUCGCGGCUUAUCAGCUUGUUGGUGGGGUUGUGGCUUACCAAGGCUUUGACGGGUAGCCGGCCUGAGAGGGUGACCGGCCACAUAGGGACUGGGGGACGGACCGGACUGCUACGUGAGGAAGGAGUGGGGAAGAGAGCGCGAAGGGCGGAGGCAUGCUGCAGGAACGCCGGGUGCGGGAUGACGGCCUUCGGGUGGUAAACAGCUUUCGCGUAGGACGGAGCGUGAGGAAGGGAAAUGAGUAAAAAGGCACGGCUUAAUUAGGG